rnacentral:rRNA from 1 species
UACGGGGGGGGCAAGCGUUGUUCGGAAUUACUGGGCGUAAAGGGCUCGUAGGUUGCCAACUAAGUCAGACGUGAAAUCCCUCAGCUUAACUGGGGAACUGCGUCUGAUACUGGAUGGCUUGAGUUUGGGAGAGGGAUGCGGAAUUCCAGGUGUAGCGGUGAAAUGCGUAGAUAUCUGGAGGAACACCGGUGGCGAAGGCGGCAGCCUGGACCAACACUGACACUGAGGAGCGAAAGCCAGGGGAGCAAACGGG